CAUUAAGUGCUAUUUUUGUGACUUUUGACCUUGAGUGCUAGUUUGGGAACAUAAACUUGAUUUAGUGCUAUUUUUGUCUUUUUCUCUAGAAACACUGAAAACAAUGAAAUCGACAAUUCAAAGAUGGGUCUGAAUAAAUGGGUCCCGUCCUAAUUUUUGUUUUAAAAAAAUUCUUAUAGUAUUUAUUACAAACUAUAUGAAAAUAUAUAAAAAUAAUUAUCUAAAUAAAAUUAAAAUGAAAAUAUAAACAAAUUCUUUACUUCAUUUUAUCAAAAAUUUAUAAAAGUUCACCUCUUCAAAUCAACUCAUAGCGCAAAACAUUAUUAAAAAGCAAACAUUGUUAUCGUACACAUUAUUUCCAAAUAAAAACCUAAAAUACAUUCAAUCAGAACUUUAAAAAAAAUUCCUCUCUAUCUGAGAUAAUAUACUUUGAAUCGAACAGUGGAACCAUUUAUGCUAUAUUUGUUUGACCUAAACAACCUUAAAACAAAGUAAUACACUGCUACCGUUAAGCACUAUCAAAUAGAUUAAAAACACUCAUUAUAUAAUAAAUAUACCAACCUGGCGCGUAUUGCCGGAAUACCACUAGUUUAUAUUAAAAAUUCAUAAACCAACCAAACAUGAAAUUUUGUGGAACAAUCUAUUUUAAAUUUGAGAUAUAUUAUAUAUAAAGUUAAUUGUUAAUCUAAAUCCUAGCAAAAAAAAAAAAAUUAUUUUUAUUUGGUUAUCUAUCUAUAAUAAUAAAGUUAGGUUAUGCUUUCUCUUCGGACCUCCGCAUCAUCAAUCGUAUGAGAGGCAUUUUGUUACAUCUGUCCUUAUCUAUUUUACUUUGUUUUGAUGUUUAAAAGAUGAAUAUUUUUGGUGGAUAUUUUUGGUGGGCUAUUAUUCUCUUAGGCUCAAUUGUUGUUAGGUUUGGUUAAUCUUCUUCACCAUAACUGUCGCGUUUAAGCAUUUUAUGCGAUUAUUCCCAUUCCUCACGUUCUCAAGCAAUCGGACUCUUCCUCUCCCAAAAACCAACGUAAGCUCCAACUAUAAAUCUCCAAUCUCCAAGGGAUGAACAACACAAUUUGAGAAGAAAAGUCUCUAAUAAUUACCAAAACCGAGAAUGGCUAAUUCCUUCAUCUUUCUUGCGACAGGGACCAGUCUCCAAGGUCUCUCUCUAUUCACCCUCUCGAUCACUCUCAACUUUGGAAGAUGACAGGCUUUAGAGUAUGUGAUCAGUGAUGCUACUGAGCCAAACCUGUUUUUCUUUCGUAAGCAAAAGAUAUAUUGUUCCGACAAGGCUAACGUAUAAUAAUAUCUUGGACAAUACUAUAAAUCAAGCUCCACAGCUCUGCAGUGUCUUUGCAGCUCGAGUUGGUUUGGCUGUUUUUAAUAUUUUGAAGGCUUUCUCUGCUGCUGCAUCGAAGUUGGAGACCAUUAGGCAGGGAGUCAGUUACAAAGUUUGUUGCGAGCGACUAGAUAUGUCCAUAAGACUGGACUGAGAGGGUAUAUGUGCUUUGUAUGAACUGCUUUGUAUGUCUAUGUGAUUAAGUUAAAAACCAUAACGCACCUUCUGAGACAAAGCCCCUGAUAGUACACAAGCUUUCACACCACUUCUCUUUCGCCUCUUUUUUUUGUGCUGUUGAUAAUACUGUGAGCAUGCGGUUUAUGAAAACUGGGAAACACGUACGAAUCGGAGUGGACUACUCAACUGCUACCUGGUUAAACACGGAGCUAGGAUAUACAGCAUACUUGGUUUGGUUAUCCGAAUAUGAAGGACGGUGGGCUUCACACUUCAACCAUUUCAGUUAAAACUCCAGUUUUUAAAAAUUGUAUUUGUUCAAACUAUGCCCAUGGAGAGAAGUAAUCAGUUCAUUGACCAAUAUUAUAUCAAAGGCCAUGUCCACUUUGACUCAAGUUUGAGCAAGCUCCAAGUUAUGAUGGAGGUUCCAAGGGGUAUCAACGUUGAUAACCGCAACAAUUUUUUUUUUCUGAUAUUGACGGUUCUUUGUUUCAUCAGUGAUCCAGGAAGCUACAUUAUUCUAUGAGACCAUUGUCUAUACGUACAUACGCAUAUGGUGAAGAUUAAAGGGUUUAGCUUAGAUUCGUGUGUCUGUUCAUUGGUUAAAGAAGCUGGUUCAUUGGUUAAUGAAGUUAAAUGGAGUAUUUUUGGUAGUAGUUUUUCUGUCUUAGACUCGGGUUUAGGCUUUGAGAUCGGUGAUCCUUCUCAAAGGACUCUAGUAGGAAAAGCAGUAAAACCAACUCAAAAAUCAAUCUCUACCUCUGGAGCUGUCAACUUGCGGAAAGUCAACAGGGUGAGAAUUGGAGUGCAAGCAAGAGUGACUAAACUUCUUAUGCGGUAAAGAGGAUUGGCUUAUUUAUGAAGAAGAGUCAGGUCUUUGUGUUUAGUAAGUUGCAUAGUCACAUGUGGUUUGUAUGAAAUAUCAAGCUUUGAAGGGUGAUUUGCUUUUAAAAUUUGGCUAUUUGGUUUGGGUCUAAUUUUUCAUUGUAAUGUGUUUCUGAUCAUGAACCGGUUUGAGCAAAUACUAUUUGUCGUCUACGUA